rnacentral:lncRNA from 1 species
GUGCGACGGGCGGUGCGUUAAUUUUUGGAAGACUCCAAAGUCGUGUUUACUGACCCUUCCAUCACCACAUGACCUUUUCCGUGCUUUGGCCUCACUCGCACGAUAUCGCGAAUCACUUCCCGAUUGGUAACCCAUCCUUAUACUACUCCAGCUCAAGCACGCUUAACUAUGGAAUUCUAAACGGAUGUGUGCUAAAAAAAUAACGUACUUUGGUGACAUAGGUAUCCAAAUCAAUUUUGUAAAGUCUUUCCAUAUACCACAAACUGGGAUGUUACACCAUCAUUCUCCAAGGAUUUCUAUUCAUUCAUCUCCAUCAUAAUAUCUUUAUGAUUCUUUGAAUCUUCAUAAAAGAUAAUCUUGAUAACCCAUUAUUCUCAUUAUUCCUUUAUUUCCAACAACAUAUCAGCUUCAUAUAUACUCUAUUAAACCUUUUCAGUUAACCAUGUCACGCUUUUUCACUGCAUCUCUAGAACUCUUGUCUUGUGUCGAUAACUAUCUUUCUCCUUUACUAACAUAUAGAUCAUACCAACAUAUCAAAUACUGACAUUUCAUGCUUCCAUAACUGUGGCCUAAACAUCUUUUUCUCUUACAUAACAAUAUACUUGCAUAUCUUUCAUCUAUGGUAAGUUAAUGAAGGGAUACACUGCAGCGACCCUUAAAACAAUCCUCUCCCCCU